UCUCCGUUGGUGAACCAGCGGAGGGAUCAUUACCGAGUGCAAGCUCAUAACCCUUUGUGAACCUAUAUCUGUUGCUUCGGCGGCUCGCUCUCGGGCGAGCCCGCCGGCAAUAUCAGUAUCUCUGUUUGAACCCGACGAUACUUCUGAGUGUUCUUAGCGAACAGUUAAAACUUUUAACAACGGAUCUCUUGGCUCUAGCACCGAUGAAGAACGCAGC
rnacentral:misc_RNA from 1 species